ACAGCCUAAACUCAAUUAGGCAGGCUUUCUUGUAAUUUCUCCAAGUAGUUUUCAGGACUAGGUCUUCAGGACAUUCCAGAGCUCUUAUCUGGAUGUUGUCUGCUUUUUGUUACAUUCUCUGUCAAGAUGACUCCAAAAUGUUUCAAUAAUGUUGAACUCCAGCCUCUGGGGAGGCCAGUUCAUGACUGAUAGUAUUUGAUUGUGUAUUUUUUAUCCAGGUAUGAGUUUACUGCACUGGCAGUGUGUUUGGGGUCACUGUCAUGCUGAAAAACAAAAGAGUUGCAAUUCUGAUUCUUUUCAGAUGGUUCUCCAUUGUUGCAGACAAACAGAAGUUACAUGACUUACUCUUAAUAGUGUAUUUUUUGAAGCUGUAUUAUAAAACUUUCUCUAUGCUGCAAAUAUAUAGUGUAAAGUCUAUGUAAAGCACAAAAUAUUAAAGCAUAUGUGACAGAGUGUGUUCUGUAUAUGAUGAAGUUUAAGGUCGGUUAAAGAUUGUUGAAGUUCAGACCAGUCUUGGCUGGUUUCUCAUUAAUUUUGUAUGUCUGUUACAUGUUCAUGAAUACAGAAACUACUGGAAUCUGUCUGCUCAGGUGUGUUCGGUGUGCAUGACCAUAUAAGGAAUAAACAGCCAGAGCUUCUACAAGCUGACGUCAUGUGCUGAAAGUAGCUGCAGAGACUCGUCUAUGUGAACGUUCAGUUGCUGUAACUACCCUCAGGAAACGAGAUCAUUGGUUAUUGUGCUCUGCCUUCACUGAGACAAAGACAUGGGGACCAUUUGGUUUGCAAUUUGCAGCAUUUUAACUGUUUUUCAGCCUCCAAAUUUAGUGACUGCUGAGGAGCCAGCAUGUGUACCUGGAUUUCAGUCAGAUCAUCUCACUUUCAGUGUGACGAGAAACUACCUGACACGAGGCACGGUACUGGGCAAAGGUAAUAACAGAAAAUGGUUGUAUAUUGAUUAGUAGUGGUUAAAGUUGCAGUUAGUAAGGAUUUGUUUCUGAGAGGCCAUCAACAGGUUAAAAGCAAAUAGCACAUUUCAAGUAGCUGAGAAUUUCAUGGCUGAAAUUUUCACUUAAUCAAGCACAUUUUUCACCAGUGAUAGAAAACUAUUGCACCUGGAGCUCCUGGGUUUGUACCACAAGACCAUCUUGCUGUGAGCCAAAGUAUUAACCACUACGUCACCAUACCAAAAAUAUAUGAAUCAAAUAUUUGUUUGUCAUGCACAGCUACAAUGAUGACAAAACAUCUCACAUCGCAUGUGCACACUUCACCACACCUGAAGCUGAAAUUGGUUUCAAAGCAGCUUGCAGAUAUGCAGGUUAAACCAGAUAACA
rnacentral:lncRNA from 1 species